rnacentral:rRNA from 1 species
GACGAACGCUGGCGGCGUGCCUAAUACAUGCAAGUAGAACGCUGAAGAGAGGAGCUUGCUCUUCUUGGAUGAGUUGCGAACGGGUGAGUAACGCGUAGGUAACCUGCCUUGUAGCGGGGGAUAACUAUUGGAAACGAUAGCUAAUACCGCAUAACAAUGGAUGACACAUGUCAUUUAUUUGAAAGGGGCAAUUGCUCCACUACAAGAUGGACCUGCGUUGUAUUAGCUAGUAGGUGAGGUAAUGGCUCACCUAGGCGACGAUACAUAGCCGACCUGAGAGGGUGAUCGGCCACACUGGGACUGAGACACGGCCCAGACUCCUACGGGAGGCAGCAGUAGGGAAUCUUCGGCAAUGGAGGCAACCCUGACCGAGCAACGCCGCGGGAGGGAAGAAGGUUUUCGGAUCGUAAAGCUCUGUUGUAAGUCAAGAACGGGUGUGAGAGUGGAAAGUUCACACUGUGACGGUAGCUUACCAGAAAGGGACGGCUAACUACGUG